rnacentral:rRNA from 1 species
GUCUCAGUUCGGAUUGGAGUCUGCAACCCGAACCUCCAUGAAGCUGGAUUCGCUAGUAAUCGCGCAUCAGCCACGGCGCGGUGAAUACGUUCCCGGGCCUUGUACACACCGCCCGUCAAGCCAUGGAAGCCGGGAGUGCCUGAAGUGCGUGAGCGCAAGCAGCGCCCUAAGGUAAAACCGAUGACUGGGGCUAAGUCGUAACAAGGUAUC